rnacentral:rRNA from 1 species
AUACGGGGGGUGCAAGCGUUGUUCGGAUUUACUGGGCGUAAAGCGCGUGCAGGCGGGUCGGCAAGUCCUGUGUGUAAUCUCCCGGCUUAACCGGGAAACUGCAUGGGAAACUAUCGAUCUUGAGUGCGAGAGAGGAUGGCGGAAUUCCUGGUGUAGCGGUGAAAUGCGUAGAUAUCAGGAGGAACACCGGUGGCGAAGGCGGCCAUCUGGAUCGACACUGACGCUGAGACGCGAAGGCCGGGGGAGCAAACAGGAUUAGAAACCCGUGUAGUCC